rnacentral:rRNA from 1 species
GACGAACGCUGGCGGCGUGCCUAAUACAUGCAAGUAGAACGCUGAAGGAGGAGCUUGCUUCUCUGGAUGAGUUGCGAACGGGUGAGUAACGCGUAGGUAACCUGCCUGGUAGCGGGGGAUAACUAUUGGAAACGAUAGCUAAUACCGCAUAAUAGUAGAUGUUGCAUGACAUUUGCUUAAAAGGUGCAAUUGCAUCACUACCAGAUGGACCUGCGUUGUAUUAGCUAGUUGGUGAGGUAACGGCUCACCAAGGCAACGAUACAUCGCCGACCUGAGAGGGUGAUCGGCCACACUGGGACUGAGACACGGCCCAGACGCCUACGGGAGGGAGCAGUAGGGAAUCUUCGGCAAUGGACGGAAGACUGACCGAGCAACGCCGCGUGAGUGAAGAAGGUUUUCGGAUCGUAAAGCUCUGUUGUAAGAGAAGAACGAGUGUGAGAGUGGAAAGUUCACACUGUGACGGUAUCUGACCAGAAAGGGACGGCUAACUACGUG